ACAGAAGACUAUUUUUAAGGUGUAGUAACAAUGUGGAAGAAAUAACUUCCAUGGCAUCUUAUAUGGUAGCAUGUGAGGCUGUUGUCAUGCAACAGCCUUCUAAACCUGCUUUACUUGGGACCGAGGCUGCAGGUGGUACAGGCUGGUUGUGCUUAUUGCUACCACUGCACCUCAGGGGAUCUACACCCACUGGUAUCUAAUGGUCAGCAGUUUACUAAGAGAACAAGCACUUGCAGUUGUAUAGGCCUCAGCCAUUAGCAGCAAACAGUGGAUGCAGCUGGAAAUUUAACAGAAAGUAAUGUCAUGGUCUUUAUAUACCUUCAUGCAACAGCAUACAGCAAUGUAACAUGGUGGGGAAGUAUGUGUCUCGAAUAUGCAUGAAGCUCGGAAAGGCCUGCUACUGGCUGGGCCUAAGCUUCAGCUGUCCUGUGAUUUCUUUUCACUUCCUGUGUCAGACCCACCCAAGAUCCUCUGUGUUGGCAGAAAACUAUUGGAGACCUCAGCCAUGAGAAUGGGAUUGGUGGCUCUUCAGGACAGGCAGGCCUUCCAGCUCUCCCUGGCAGCGCAGGGCCUGCAAUGCAUCCACAGCCCUGCAUGCCCCAGGGGACACAGAGUCGUCAUCUUCGGAGGAAGUUGUCAUGUUGUGAUCCAGAUCUAUGAGUGGACCUGUCUUUGAUGGCAGUGGUGUCUUAUCUCCCGUGAGUUAGCAUCAGAUGAAGCUUGCUGACAGCAUAAUGGCAGGGAAAACCUCCGACGGCUCCAUCAAAUGGCAGCUCUGCUACGACAUCUCGGCCAGAACUUGGUGGAUGUGGAGCAGCCUCACACUUGUCCCACUUGUGUGCUUUCCCCUGUGUAACAGGAGACCGUUAAUGUGCACUACAGUUUCCACAGGGAAGCUUUCUCAAUUCUCCUUAAGGAAGGAAAAAAAAAUAAAAAAAUACACAAACUAUGCAAAGAAGUAGUUUGCAAAAGCCUCGUGCAGAGUAACUUGUCUCGGUCGGCUGCCUACUGCUCAGUUUGUUUUACUUUAUCUGCUGCUUUCAAGCGUCCGUGUGCGUGAUUUUUUACCAUGCACUAUUUUGUAAAGAGGGGAGGUGGAAAGUUCAGCCUGCUGCACAGCGAGCCGGUGCCUGUAAAAGCCUGCAACGGUGCGGUCGUGGCGUGGUGUAAAAACCAUCACGUGUGCGGGGAGCGCGGUUUGCGAGGUGCUGCCUUUCGCCGGAGCCCCCGAUCUAACUUCUCCCUCCGCUUGUUUAUGUGAGAGCAGGUUCCCGGGCUGCGCUGACCUGGAGCCAUGUGUUACGGAUCCCACCGAGCCUGGCUCGGGCUGCUUUGGGGCGCAAUUAAAGUUUCCCUAAAGUCCCAACGUGCUCCGUAGAACGAGUUAACUAGCAUGUCAUGGUCAGCCGGGCCAGACAACCUUUGACAUCUUGAAUCUAUAAGAGGUAUAGUGAGUUGGGAGGAUGCACAAUAGCCCAUUGUGGCAGAAGAUGCAAGUCCUGUUGUGAGGAAGAGAGUCCUCAAAUCAUUACUGCCCUCGUUAGCGUGUUGUCCGUUAGGGAUUAAUUCGUUAGCAGCGCAUUUUGAGUUUUCUGUAAUUAUUAUUCUUGUGGCAAGCGUGAAUUCUUCCAGUGAGAGGAAAAGUUUGCUGCCAGGACAAUGAAUGUAUUAUCCGCUCCUAACUGGACCGUGAACCUCAGCUCGUUUCACAUAGAUAUCAGUUAAAAAAGGACUGGCGAGUGGAAUUACAAAACAAGGCAUGAUCACUUUCAUUGUAUGAUACGCUGAAACAAGUCGGGGGCUCUCCCUCCCCCUCGCCGCCCCGGACCAAUUUUGGUAUCAUUUGGAAAGUUUAAGACCUCUGAGGACUUGAAAGACUUUUAAAAGUGAGAUCCGGAAGGUUUUUAUUCUGCAGCUUGGUGGUGGCCAUUGUGUAUAUCAUGUGGCUUGUAUUUAAAGGUGUUUGGGCUCGGGUUUUUCAGUUUUGUUUUGUCUAAACUCUUAAUUUUUUAACCGUCUAUUAGAGGUUUGCCAGCGGUUGCCAGUGAAAUGUAACAUGCAGCUUUUGGUUAAUGGGAAUAGGGAAGGCUAACCACUUUACUUAUAGUACUGAUUUUCCAAUUAGACUUUCUGCCAGGGGAAGUUGGAGGGGGAAGGGGUAUUUGCAUGCACAUAAACUGUUGACUAUUCAUGUGACUUUUUUUUUAGCUGGUUAAACCCCUGUAAAUAAGGCUAUUGAUUCUGAGUUAUCAUUUUCAAAGCAAAGUUUUCGACUGCCUGUUUUAACCACACAAUUUAUAUCGUGCUGUGAUUUUGCCUUAUUCUAAGCCAUUUGUGUAUUUUAUUACCACUCCUCUUUUAUUGUCUAUCGGCUGCUUUUAUGAUGAGGUACGUCAAUGUUUAUUAUUUAAUAAGUAUCCUCAAAUGCUAUUAGGCAGUUAUUGUCACCCUUUAGAAAGUAUCCAAGGAAGUUUCAUUUCAGUCACAUUUAUUUCACAGAUGUUUUAGUACUGUGAAUAUAAUAUGUAAAAAUGCUGGAAACAUUUAGUAAUGCACUUGCCUAAAAAUAAAC